rnacentral:lncRNA from 1 species
UAAAGUAGUGGAAAAGAGAAAGAAAAAUGGGUGAAGUGGUGGGACCCAUUGAUUUUUAAUGUAUAAAAAGAAGAUAGUGGAGUAAAAGUAGUGUGAAAAGGAAAGAAAAGUGAAGAAGUGGUGGGACCCAUUGACUAUUUUGGGUAAGUUUUGAAAUGUAAAGAAAUGGAUGGGACAUCCCAAAAAGGAAAGUGUAAAGAAAUGG